rnacentral:rRNA from 1 species
AUUUCCUUCGGGACUGAUUAUUUUGUGACUGAGUGGCGGACGGGUGAGUAACGCGUGGGUAACCUGCCUUGUACAGGGGGAUAACAGUUGGAAACGGCUGCUAAUACCGCAUAAGCGCACAGUAUCGCAUGAUGCAGUGUGAAAAACUCCGGUGGUAUAAGAUGGACCCGCGUUGGAUUAGCUAGUUGGUGAGGUAACGGCCCACCAAGGCGACGAUCCAUAGCCGACCUGAGAGGGUGACCGGCCACAUUGGGACUGAGACACGGCCCAAACUCCUACGGGAGGCAGCAGUGGGGAAUACUGCACAAUGGGCGAAAGCCUGAUGCAGCGACGCCGCGUGAGCGAAGAAGUAUUUCGGUAUGUAAAGCUCUAUCAGCAGGGAAGAUAAUGACGGUACCUGACUAAGAAGCACCGGCUAAAUACGUGCCAGCAGCCGCGGUAAUACGUAUGGUGCAAGCGUUAUCCGGAUUUACUGGGUGUAAAGGGAGCGCAGGCGGUGCGGCAAGUCUGAUGUGAAAGCCCGGGGCUCAACCCCGGUACUGCAUUGGAAACUGUCGUACUAGAGUGUCGGAGGGGUAAGCGGAAUUCCUAGUGUAGCGGUGAAAUGCGUGGAUAUUAGGAGGAACAC